GGAGGCAUAGCUCAGUUGGUUAGAGUGCCUGCUUCACACGCAGGAGGUCACUGGUUCGAGCCCAGUUGUCUCCACCA
rnacentral:tRNA from 1 species